rnacentral:ncRNA from 1 species
GCAAGGAUAAAAACACAGUGCGGUUGGUAGUCCGUGCGCUGGAAUUUCCAGUCAGUAACCCUCCCUCCCAUGGGUCGUCCGUUCUUUGCA